rnacentral:rRNA from 1 species
AUUGAACGCUGGCGGCAUGCUUUACACAUGCAAGUCGAACGGUAACAGGUCUUCGGAUGCUGACGAGUGGCGAACGGGUGAGUAAUGUAUCGGAACGUGCCCAGUAGUGGGGGAUAACUACUCGAAAGAGUGGCUAAUACCGCAUGAGAACUGAGGUUGAAAGCGGGGGACCGUUCGGGCCUCGCGCUACUGGAGCGGCCGAUAUCAGAUUAGGUAGUUGUGGGGUAAAGGCCUACCAAGCCGACGAUCUGUAGCUGGUCUGAGAGGACGACCAGCCACACUGGGACUGAGACACGGCCCAGACUCCUACGGGAGGCAGCAGUGGGGGAAUUUUGGACAAUGGACGCAAGUCUGAUCCAGCAAUGCCGCGUGCAGGACGAAGGCCUUCGGUGUAAGACUCUUUGUUCAGAGAAGAAACAAG